AACGUAGGUGGCGAGCGUUAUCCGGAUUUACUGGGCGUAAAGGGUGUGCAGGCGGGGCGACAAGUGGGGUAUGAAAGGGUGGGGCUAAACCCCACGAGGCUAUGCCAGACUGUCGCGCUAGAGGCCGAGAGAGGGGCAUGGAAUUCCGGGUGUAGUGGUGAAAUGCGUAGAGAUCCGGAGGAACCCCAGAGGCGAAGGCGGUGCCCUGGCUCGGGCCUGACGCUGAGGCGCGAAAGCGUGGGGAGCAAACAGG
rnacentral:rRNA from 1 species